rnacentral:rRNA from 1 species
GACGAACGCUGGCGGCGUGCUUAACACAUGCAAGUCGAACGCUGAAGCUCAGCUUUUGUUGGGUGGAUGAGUGGCGAACGGGUGAGUAACACGUGAGUAACCUGCCCCCUUCUUUGGGAUAACGCCCGGAAACGGGUGCUAAUACUGGAUAUUCACUGGUCUUCGCAUGGGGGUUGGUGGAAAGGGUUUUUCUGGUGGGGGAUGGGCUCGCGGCCUAUCAGCUUGUUGGUGGGGUGAUGGCCUACCAAGGCUUUGACGGGUAGCCGGCCUGAGAGGGUGACCGGUCACAUUGGGACUGAGAUACGGCCCAGACUCCUACGGGAGGCAGCAGUGGGGAAUAUUGCACAAUGGGCGCAAGCAUGAUGCAGCGACGCCGCGUGAGGGAUGGAGGCCUUCGGGUUGUGAACCUCUUUCGCUCAUGGUCAAGCCGCAACAAUGGUUGUGGUGAGGGUAGUGGGUAAAGAAGCGCCGGCUAACUACGUG